CAGAUAGCUCAGUUGGUAGAGCAAAGGACUGAAAAUCCUUGUGUCGGUGGUUCGAUUCCACCUCUGGG
rnacentral:tRNA from 2 species